rnacentral:sRNA from 1 species
UUGGAGGCCCUAGGGGAGCGUCUUUCCUUGCCUUUCCAGCUUCUAGAAGCUGCCCAAAUUCUGUGGUUUGGGGCCUCCUUUCAAAACCAGCAAUGGCCAAUUAGUCUUACAUCACUCAAAUACUUGAGUGUUCUGUCUCCCUCUUCCGUGUUUGAGGACCCUUGUGAUUACACUGUGAAAACCCAGAUAAGCCAGGAUAAUUUCCCUAUCUUAUUAGGAUGGUAUUCAUUCAGGAGAAGGACCCUACAGAUGGAAUGAAUGCAGGAAAGCUAAGAAGAAUCACGCCUCAUUGCAGAUCUGCAUUACCUUUGGAAAACAGCAGCCUCAGAACCACAGUAGCCAUGAAAACCAUCAGCCUUCAACCACCACCCUUGUAUCAGAGGAGACAAAUAAGCUUGGAAAUCCUCAAAAAGCCUCAUCCUCAGAGCAAUGUCAUUAUAUAUCUUAUCUUACAGCUCC